GGAAUUUUGUUGAACUCCCUUCCGCUUACUAUUUCCAGGAUAAGAGUGGUAACAUGUAUCCACUGCAGGUACUCCAGAGCGUUCGAGAAUCAUUUAGGUGUUGAAAUCUCUUCGUCUUUCCUCUCUAAAUCGGACGAUCCUCCGUUUAAGUGUCGUUAUUCGAAUGAGCUGCUUAGACUUUCUUUCUGGUGAUCUGAAUGAUAUAUGGCGUAUUAGAUGUUAGUCGUUAAAUUAGUUGACUUGAUAGGGUAUCUUAAAGAAUAUCCAUCUUGUUUUACUCGCAAUGAACAAAUGUUCGUUUGGUUGUGAUUUUGAGUACACUGGUUGUACAGUUUGUU
rnacentral:lncRNA from 1 species